rnacentral:lncRNA from 1 species
CAGUUGUGUUGCCAGAACAGUCAGAGAGGUAUGAAGGAUAAAAAUAUAUUCAAGGGAAUUUCUUCCUUUUUCCAGCUCUCCCACCCAGGAUUCUUAGCAGUAUCUGUGGAGCGCUGGGAGGAAGGAAGCAGAGAUCUCAUCAGAUGUGUGGUGCCUUGGUGCUGUCACAGUCUACCCCGCACUCCUGCUUCAAAAGGGAUGUAUGGUGUUUUAGAAGAAAUCAUAGCUCAGUUUUAUGGAGACCAGAGGACCCCCCCCCCCAGGUCUGGGGUUCUGUGACAAACACAAGAAGGCUCAGCUCUUUCCAGAAAUCAUUCUUCAGGCAGGAAUGUCCUGGCUUUUGUUCCUGCAUUAUUCUUGCUGAAGUGAAGAAUAUGGCGGAAUGGUGCCACUCUUGAUAGUGAAUCUAAGUAUUGGGAUAUCCCCACCCUGCAUCAAAGGGGAAACGAGUUAUAAUUCCUAUCUCGACUGACUUGUUUACAAGCAGUAAGAAGCUUAUACCUCAGCUUGGUGAUACCUGUCAUCCCAGCACUUGGGAGCUUGUGGCAGGAGGAUCACAAGUUUAAGUCCAGCUUGAACAACUUAGUAAGAGACCCUUACUCAAAAAAAUUAAAAGGGAUGGGAUGUGGCUCGGUGUGAAAGCCUUGGCAUCAAUCCCCAGUAGUAGCUUAAAAAAAAAGUUCACAUCUCAAGUAAGAUCUGGACGAUGGGACUGUGUGUCUUAGUUCCUUCAUGCUGCUAUAAUGGAAUACCUUAGUCUGGGUGGUUUAUAAACAACAGAACUUUCUUGCUCACUGUUCUAGAGGCCGGAAAGUUCAAACUGGGUGUCUGCUGCACCAGUGGUGCCUUGUUGUUGCUUCCUCACAUGUGGGUGGGGACCGGGGAGCUUGCUUGAGUCUCUUUUUUCAGGGCACUAAUUGUGUUCAGCAAUAAGAUGAAGAAAUUAUUGUGUAUAUGGAAAAAACAUGCAUUACAUUAAACUAUUUGAUCAUUGACAAAGGGGCCAAAAAUAUACUCUGGGGGAAAGUUAGCUUCUUUAAUAAAUGGUCCUGCGAAUGCAGAAGAUUGAAUCUAGGCUCAUAUCUCUUACUAUGUAUUGAACUAAAAUACAAAUAGAUCAAAGAAUUAGAUGUUAAAAUAGAAACACUUAACCUGGUGGAGAUAAAAUAGGCAAAACUUGAAAUCAUAGGCAUAGGCAAGGAAUUUCUGAAUAGAACCCUUAUUACACAGGAAGCAGUACUGAAAAUCAAAUUAAAAACCUACACAGACAGCCCUUGGAAACUCAUUUUUGUGAGUUUGAGAAUCUCUUAAACCUCAAUUUGACUUUUCCUUUACGUAAAAUACAUGAAAAUAUUUAAGCAAAAAUUUAAACAGUAAUUUAAAAACAUCCUGUAAAAUUAAUACAGAUAGUUUAUUUAUGUUUUUUAAAUAAACUGAAAGAUAAAGAACACAAUAUUUUACAUAUUUAUAUUUCUCAUACAGUUUGGAGUCAUACAUGACUCUAUUUAUUUUUUUUUCUAUACUGGGAAUCAAACUAAGGACCUUGUGCUUGCCAGCCAGGUGUGGAGCCACUGAGCUAAAUACCCAGCCCCAUGAUUUCAGUUUUUGAAGCACAAUAUUAAAAUCUUUAAAAGGUAGUAAGUGAGAAUUUGUUCAAGUAAGUACCUUCAAGUACAUUUGUAUAAAGAAAAAUGAAAUUGUGUUGAUUGUUAUAUAUGUUAUUGGCUAUAGGACUAUUUUAAUGCUUAAAUUUUAUUAGCAAAAAUACUGCUUCAAAGUUUUAAAAAGGUACAAGUUCUUAUAAGGACAUAAGUUAUUGUUUCAUUGAAAUUGCCUAUUGAAUACUGUAUGCCCCUUUCUCUGAACAGGUUGUAAAAUGCCUGACACACAAUAUGUAAUAAAUUCAAAUAAAGAAGUGUGACACCUUAUAAAUGUGUACUUGAGAAUAACAUGCAAAAAUAAAAGUAAAAAAUACUUUCUUGUUUUUUAAAAAAACCUUCUGUACAGCAAAAGAAACAGUCAACAGAAUGAAUAGAAACCUACAGAAUGGAAAACAAUUUUGUCAACUAUUCCUCAGACAGAGAACUAAUAUUUAGAAUAUAUAAAAACCUCAAAAAAACUAGACCACCCCUAAAUAAAAGACCCAAUCAAAAAAUGGACAACUGAAAUGAAUAGCUACUUCUCAGAAGAAGUAUAAUUGGCCAAUAAAUACAUGAAGAAAUGGUCAACAUCGCUGGCCAUUAAAGAAAUGUAAAUUAAAACAACACCGAGAUUCCCUCUUACUCUGGUAAGAUUGGCCAUCAUCAAGAAAUCAAAUAAUAACACGUGCUGGUGACGCUGGAGAGUGGGCAUUCUACACGUUGGUGGCAAUAUAAACUAGACCAUCAUUAUGUAAAGAAGUAUGAAGAUUACUCAAACCACUAAAGCUAGAAAUUCCAUUUGACCUAGAUAUUAAUCUUCUAAGAAGCUUCCUGAAAGAGUUAAAGAUGGCAUAUUACAGUGAUCCACACAUACCAUGUUUAUAGCAACACAACUCAUAACAGCUAAAUCUUGGAAGCAGCCUAUAUGUCCAUCAACAGAUGAAUGGGUAAAGAAGUGUGGUGUUUAUACACAGCGGAGUAUUACUCUGCUAUAAGGAAGGAUCAACUUGAGUAAUUUGUAGGAAAAUCGAUACAUCUUGAGACCAUAACAUUAAGUGAAAUAAAUCAGACCCACAAGCUUAAAUAUGGCACAGUUUAUCUUAUAUGAGAAAAAACUACAAAAAAUAAAAUAAAAGAUAGAUAAUAUGAAGUAGAGGGAUAGAUCUUUUUUGAAUGGGAAGGGGAUCAAGAGAUUUGAGGAGGGGGAAGGGAUUAAGGAGACAAGGAAUUAAUAGGUGUUAUGUACAUGCACCCACUCACGCAAGAAAUGUAAACAUAAUAUACUGCAAACAUGUACUGAUAAAAAGGAAAGCAAAAUGUGGAUGAAUCUCAAAUAAUCACUCUGAGUAAAAGAAGCCAGACCCAAAACACA